rnacentral:rRNA from 1 species
AGCGAACGCUGGCGGCAGGCCUAACACAUGCAAGUCGAACGACCCUAUCGUGGUUGGUUGCUCUCGCGUGUGUAGCACGUCGGACCGUGGCUUUAUACUCCGAAUUACACAGUGAAACGUGUGCUAAUACCGAAUGUGUUCCGCUAGUACCAGAUUUGUCGUCUUUAGAGCGGCCGGCGUCCGCUUAGCUAGUUGCUUGAGGUAAUGGCGCACCAGGGCUACGUACUUUAGCUGGUCUGAGAGGAUGAUCAGCCACAUUCGGACUGAGACACGGCCCAAACUCCUACGGGAGGCAGCAGUGGGUAAUCCUGCGCAAUGGGCGAAAGGCUGACGCAGCCAUGCCGCGUGAAUGAUGAUGGUCUGAGGAUUGUAAAAUUCUUUCACCGGCCACGAUAAUGACGGUACCCAGAGAAGAAGCCCCGGCUAACUUCGUG